CGACCUGCACGCCGGGGGAGGCUGCUGCUGCAGCCCGCAUUCCUGCUCCUCCUCUCCGGUACCGGUCCAGCUCAGCUGCCGCUUAUGGACCGCCUGCGCGUUCACGUGGAGACCCGUUUCAUGCUGACGGGAGCGCGCAUUGCCACUGUGUUUGUUGCUCGUUGAAGAACCAACUGCCUGAGCCCGGUUGAAGUCUAAUCCUAGCAGCUGUUCAGAACCCGAACAGGUCCGGACUCAGAACCUUCUGUCGGUCCUUCAGGGACUUUAGCUGCUUUUCAGUCCAGUUUGUUCUGAUUUAUUCAGCGGAACACAAAUGAAGGCCCAGUUCACCAGACAGAACUUUAUGAGGAUCACGGACCUUCAACAGAGCCGAACAUCACUGCGUAUAAUAGCAUAAACAUUAGCAUGCUAACUCCGGAUGUUUUCCAGAUUUCCAAUCAGCCAGUGGACAUUUUUCAAGAUGGCUUCCGUUUGUUAGCCUCAAACAAUUUAUUGAAAUAAAACGUUCCCCAUUUCCAUGACUUGGAUGACCUUUGUGUGUCAUCAGUGUUUCCAUUUUCGUCAUUCUGUUCAUAUGAUGUGAUAAUAUGCAGAAUCUGAAACUGAAACUGGUUAUUAUAUUUAUACAACUUUAAAAGUAAUAUAGCAAAAUCUGAAACCGAGGAUUUAGCCGUUAGUGACUCUUACCAGUCGUCAACUGGAAGGAGAUGAAGAUGAGAGAUUUUUGUGUAACAGGAGGCACCAUUAGGGGUCGCUGUCUCUACAGCCUGAAGCUAGAAGGAUGGUGGUGAAGCAUCAAUUUCCUGUCAGACCAGUUUUGUGUUGUUUGUUGUUUGCUGGCUGUGGACUGCAGUGCUGAUGGUGUUCAGGUGGUGGCGUUACCUGGGCGUGGUUGUUCGACGCCACAGAAAAGAAAACCCAGCAAACAUCUGCAGAGCGGCGUUGGUCAUCAUCUGUACUAAAUAAAGACAGAAGAAGAAGAAGCUCCGCCAACCUCCUGCUGCCACCAGGAGUUAAUUAUAAGAUUUUCCACUUCUUCUGGUCUCAGGCUCCUCCUUUCUGUCCAGAACUUCAGCAGAGCAAACUGGGCCGCACUCAGCUGUUACACAACUCCCACAGAGCUUGUUUGUGUAGCACUGGGCCAUUGUUGGUCACCCAGUGAGCACUGGGAACUGAACUGGGAGGGGGCAUGAAACCAGUGGUUGCUUCAGUUCCCAACUCCAAGCAGAGAGGAUUCAGUCCAACAAUGUUCAGCUCCACCGGUCCGAACGGAUUCACCGCAGAGCAAAGGAACCAAGAACCGGAUCGGCUGGACUGACGCUGCAACCGCUCCGACAUUUUACUUUGUUAGAAACUAAAUCCAACAUUUUACUUUGUUAUUUUUGGCCUUUUUAGGUGAAACUCACAGAAAAACAGACAAAAGGUAAAUAAUUCCAACCAAGCUGAAACCGAUUUUGUCGGGAU